rnacentral:ncRNA from 2 species
GGUCAGAUAAGGCGUUUUCGCCGCAUCCGACAUUCGCACACGAUGCCUGAUGCGACGCUGGCGCGUCUUAUCAGGCC